UUUUCCAAGGAUGAGGUUGUGACCAAGUGGGAAUUGAACAAAGAGCAUGAGGAAGUUUGUGUAAUUGGAAUUUGGAAAGCCGUUGUACUUGCCAGUAGCUAUCAAUGCCAGAUGGAUGCCUAAUGCUGGUCGAACGGUCUUCCGGAACUUUAAAUGGGUAAAAGACGUUCCCGCGUCUUUUAAUCGUCAGAAGCAGCGAGCAAGGAUGGGGACAGAUCUAAUAAGCAAGGUUAACAAGGAAAGCCAUAUCUUGGGCCCAUCCUACCACCCAAAUCGUCUUCUUUUUUUUCUAAAUUUUGUCCCAGCAGUCUCUCUCCGUUCAACAAUAAUUUGCUUUGUGAUCGAGUACUCCAAUCCUGUCAGCAGAUGCAUAUUUCAGCUAAAUAGCAAUUGCAGCUACUUGUGGUCCCACUGCUGCCAUCAGUUCUAGAUUUAGUCCAUAGUGGUGGAAUCCACCUCCGACCCCGCAGCCUAGCUCCGAAAACUACUUGUGUGGUUGUACACGAUACAAAGUCGACGAUUAAAGACUGCAAGUCCUAUGAAAUUUAAGCCAUGCGAAAGAACUAAAAUCUUGAUAAAAAAUUGAAAAUAACAUCUGUUUCUUUUU